GGAGGGUAUAGCUCAGGGGUAGAGUGCAUGCUUAGCAUGCAUGAGGUCCUGGGUUCAAUCCCCAGAACCUCCA
rnacentral:tRNA from 1 species